rnacentral:misc_RNA from 1 species
AUAGAGUUGAAGACGCUGACGGGAGUUGGCCGACGGCCGGUGAGGAGGGCGUCGGAGACUAUGGUGUGGCAGGAGGAGGGGUUGGGGGAACCGGUGCAGAGGUCAGAGGGGUGGGGCUGUUGGUAGGCGGAGAAUUGGAGGGAGACAAACGCGGACAAGGAGAUGACUGCAGCUAAGGAGAGCGUGACCCAGAGGGCUUUGCAGGCAACUGUUUUGCCGGCGUUGGGAGAGGAGAGGAGAGGCUCGUUUGGUGAUGCCAUUGUUG